rnacentral:piRNA from 1 species
UGAAAUGGAUGCCAGGAAUGAGG